CCCUUAGAUGUUCUGGGCCGCACGCGCGCUACACUGACGAAUGCAACGAGCUUAUAACCUUGGCCGAAAGGUCUGGGUAAUCUCCAAAUUUCGUCGUGAUGGGGAUAGAUUAUUGCAAUUAUUAAUCCUCAACGAGGAAUGCCUAGUAAGCGCAAGUCAUCAGCUUGCGUUGAUUACGUCCCUGCCCUUUGUACACACCGCCCGUCGCUCCUACCGAUUGAAUGGUCCGGUGAAGCGUUCGGACCGUGGCCUUUGGACGGUUCGCCGUCUGUUGGCUGCGGGAAGUUCGUUAAACCUUAUCAUUUAGAGGAAGGAGAAGUCGUAACA
rnacentral:rRNA from 1 species